UAGUCCACGCCCUAAACGAUGCACAUUUUGGUAUCGGCUUGUUGGAGUCGGUGCCGGAGCAAACGCGUUAAAUGUGCCGCCUGGGAAGUACGGCCGCAAGACUAAAACUCAAAGAAAUUGACGGGGACCCGCACAAGCGGUGGAGUAUGUGGCUUAAUUCGAUGCAACGCGAAGAACCUUACCUAGGCUUGACAUGCUUGUCGUACCUUCCCGAAAAGGAAGGGUCGCUUCGGGCGGACAAUGCACAGGUGCUGCAUGGCCGUCGUCAGCUCGUGUCGUGAGAUGUUUGGUUAAGUCCAGCAACGAGCGCAACCCCUGUGAACUGUUGCCAGCGGAUAAUGCCGGGGACUCUGUUCAGACUGCCCAGAUCAACUGGGAGGAAGGUGGGGACGACGUCAGGUCAGUAUGGCCCUUACGCCUAGGGCUGCACACGUACUACAAUGCCCAGCACAAUGAGAACCGAUACCGCAAGGUGGAGGAAAUCUGUAAAACUGGGCCCAGUUCGGAUUGG
rnacentral:rRNA from 1 species